AUUGUUUUCCAGUGGUCUCGAUAUGCUGCUUCGUUUGUGAGGGUUCGUUGCUUCGAUGGUGGGCUGGGUCGUCGAUAAAGGCACAUUCAUUCCUGACCCGCCGUGGUAGCCGUGAAGACCUCCUCCCCACCACCACAGAGAAAGAUUGAUGCGGGCGGCGGCGCCGUAAUGAUGUCAGACGGUGAAGCCAGGCAGGCGUGUGCUGUCACCGCGCCGUCAGCCGGGGCCCAAAACAUCACCGCCAGUGCCUUACACAUGUCGUUGCCAUCCAUGCCACACACAGCACCGGCGGGCGGAGUGGCCGCAGCUGCCUGGCGGGGAGUUUUAAUGCCGCGGCGCCGCUGGGAAUCCCCCGCCGAGCAGCGCGGGAUGAAGGCAAGGCGUGAGAAAUAACUUGGUCGAUCAGAACCAUUAUCUCUAUUGUGGGACACUUUUUAUUAAACUUUUAUUUUCAUUUACCACAA